AGUGAACGCUGGCGGUAGGCCUAACACAUGCAAGUCGAACGGCAGCACAGUAAGAGCUUGCUCUUACGGGUGGCGAGUGGCGGAAGGGUGAGGAAUACAUCGGAAUCUACUUUUUCGUGGGGGAUAACGUAGGGAAACUUACGCUAAUACAGCAUACGACCUACGGGUGAAAGCAGGGGAUCUUCGGACCUUGCGCGAUUGAAUGAGCCGAUGUCGGAUUAGCUAGUUGGCGGGGUAAAGGCCCACCAAGGCGACGAUCCGUAGCUGGUCUGAGAGGAUGAUCAGCCACACUGGAACUGAGACACGGUCCAGACUCCUACGGGAGGCAGCAGUGGGGAAUAUUGGACAAUGGGCGCAAGCCUGAUCCAGCCAUACCGCGUGGGUGAAGAAGGCCUUCGGGUUGUAAAGCCCUUUUGUUGGGAAAGAAAAGCAGCAGGUUAAUACCCCGCUGUUCUGACGGUACCCAAAGAAUAAGCUCCGGCUAACUUCGUG
rnacentral:rRNA from 1 species